rnacentral:rRNA from 1 species
AGCAGCCGCGGUAAUUCCAGCUCCAAUAGCGUAUAUUAAAGUUGUUGCGGUUAAAAAGCUCGUAGUUGGAUCUCGGCGGGCAGGGGGUGGUUCGCUCUUCAGCGCUACUGCCCCGCUUUGCCCGUGUGAUUGGCGGAGGUUUCGGGGUGCUCUUCGUUGAGUGACUCGGAGCGCCGUCAGGUUUACUUUGAAAAAAUUAGAGUGCUCAAAGCAGGCUUUUCACGCUUGAAUAUUCGUGCAUGGAAUAAUGGAAUAGGAACUCGUUUCUAUUUUGUUGGUUUUCGGAAAUCGAGUUAAUGAUUAACAGGGACAAUUGGGGGCAUUAGUAUUCAGACGACAGAGGUGAAAUUCUUGGACCGUCUGAAGACUGACUACUGCGAAAGCAUUUGCCAAGAGUGUUUUCAUUAAUCAAGAACGAAAGUUAGAGGUUCGAAGGCGAUCAGAUACCGCCCUAGUUCUAACCAUAAACGAUGCCAGCUAGCGAUCUGCCGAGUUUUUUUUGUAGGCUCCGCAGGAAGCUUUCGGGAAACCAAAGCUUUUGGGUUCCGGGGGAAGUAUGGUUGCAAAGCUGAAACUUAAAGGAAUUGACGGAAGGGCACCACCAGGAGUGGAGCCUGCGGCUUAAUUUGACUCAACACGGGAAAUCUCACCAGGCCCGGACACUGGAAGGAUUGACAGAUUGAGAGCUCUUUCUCGAUUCGGUGGGUGGUGGUGCAUGGCCGUUCUUAGUUGGUGGAGUGAUUUGUCUGGUUAAUUCCGAUAACGAACGAGACUCUGUCCUGCUAAAUAGUUGGGUCGUCCUUCGUGCGAUCCAAGUUCUUCUUAGAGGGACUGGCUGCGUCUAGCAGCACGAGAUUGAGCAAUAACAGGUCUGUGAUGCCCAAGG